AUACUUACCUGGCGUGGAGGUCAACCGUGAUCAUCUGGGCGGUUCCUCCAGGGCGAGGCCCGAUCAUUGCACAUACCGAUCGGGUUGACCCCUGCGAGUAUCCCUAAUGUGGAUACCUCGGACGUAGAAUUUUUUUUUAGCUGGGACUGCGUUCGCGCCGUCCCUUAUAUCCAAUCGUGGUCAUAAUGAAUGCCAAGUACAUUUGAUAAAAUUCUUUCAUUAUAACGUGCUUGAUGUUAUGAACAAUGUCUAUCCAGUAUCAC